rnacentral:lncRNA from 1 species
AAAAAUGGCUUCCUGCCUUUCUGGAAUUUCAGGAAGUUGAGAGAUCUAUAGACCUACAAAAAUGAUUAUCUCUUUGAUGGUUGCCAUAUUCCCAGGUACAAGAGCUCUUGCAAAAAACACAAAAGAUGGCCAAAACCAGUUUUUUUUUGGGGGGGGGGAGGAAGAGGAGUCAAAUACUGCCUGAAAAUUGAUCCAUAGUGUUUGAAUGAGUGGGAGCAGAUGAGAUGAUCUUCCCUUUCUGAGGUCGUCCCAAAGGAAGCUGGAACCUCCAAGUGUUGUGAGACCCCACCAAGUCAACACACAAGGAAUUUCAGUAGAAUGAGGGGAGCUCCAGGCACCUCUUUCUCCUGGAACCCUAGGACGCAUUAACACUGAGAGAAAGGAAAAGUAACUUUGGUUUUCCAAAGAACUAUGGCAAAUGUAUUUAUGGCAAAUUAAUUCUUUCUGGCAAUCUUCUGCAUUUCAUGAUCUAAGCCCACUAGACAUUUUUCCUAAGUGUGGUAUACACAGUCAACAUUUAUACUUAUUUAAAAUUCAAACAAAAUGAACCAAAUUCUGACAAUCUGGCAGUUUGUCAAAUUAACCCUUAGUAUUUUCUCUGUGUGAUUUUUUUCCACUGCCCAAUGUUUUAAAUGUCUAUCCAUUUCCUUAAGGACUGAUCUCUGUCUCUGGUAUGUGCUUGCAUAUGUGUGUAUAUAUUACCUUUUUUUUUUUUAGAAUAAAUGGACCGGCAUUCUCAAUCAUAUAUAUAUAUAUUUUUUUUUUAAAUGUCAGUAGUUUAUGUACUAGAAAUAGCAAAGAGAGAAUCUGAAAAUUUCCUUCUCAUGAGAAAAUGCGAGGUUUUGUGUAUUCAACUACUCUAAUUGAUUCUGAAGCAUUUAUUUAUUGGAAAAAACUUAAUGGAAUUGGAUGGAUUCAGAUGUACUUUCAGGUUAUGAAAUGGUUCAAGGUAUUAUGUAAAUGUAAAUUAUGUAAAUGUUUGGGUUAUGGUAGAAACCAUAAUAUAUUUUCCCCAAAGCUAUGUCCUUCUAUUUUCAACUUAUGUGCUUUUUCAAGGGAAUUUAGUCCAUGUGUUGUGAUUCAUUUACACUUAACUCAUCAAAAUAAUGUUUGCUAAGAGCUUCUGGGUAUCCAACAAGCUUCUUAAUCUAUGUGGAUUUCUUUUUUAAGUUUUUUUUCCUCCUUAGAACCAAGAAGAUGCAUUGGUCAAACCACACUUGAGUUUUUGCUUUUUUAAUUUCCCCAAACUUGGAAACCUAAACAAUGUAGUAGAUUCGAUGCAGUAAAAUACCUGCUUUCUCGUAUCAAACUUUCCUAAGACUGGAAUUAUAAGAGAAAUCAACUCCUAAGUAGUGAACUUUCUAGUCUUGUUAAAACAAUUAGCUUACUACAGAAUGACUAAAACAUGAUGUGUUGAAUGGCAGUCAUUAAAGAAUAUAAUGGUGAGGCUUGAACAUUUAGAAAUCAUAUUUUCUCUACUUUUAACAAAUAUGUUUAAAAAUAGUCUAGUAUGGUGACUCUAGUGAAUAAUACUACAAGGAAAAAAAAUACAGAAUAAGAAACAGACAUUUUUAAAAGAAAGUUUGAUAAGGCAACAGAGACAUUACUGCUCUCCUUAGAGUGACUAAAACACAAGGAACACAUAAACCAUUAUGUUGUCCAAGAGCAUUCUCUAUGGAAAAAACAAGUGCUUUUAAAGUACUUGACUCAGAGGGAAAGAAAAGAUAUUUAUGAAGCUGUUUAGUUCACAGGUAAUUUCUCCUCUAAGAUUUUUAUGAGGUUUGGAAAAUUAUAGAUAGGCAGAUGAAUUUUGCCUUUUCUGAGGGGCUGAAACUUUUAACAACACUCAGAGUUUACUGUUGCUGCUCAGAAGGAGUGAGGGAAACGUGUAAGGGAAAUAUCUACCAUGAGAUCAAGGAAAUAGGCAGGAAUCAGUCCAUGUAAUCCCCUUUGGUUUGUGAGAGGAGUUUAGAUUUGGUGUUAACCGUGAUGGAAAAUUCCUUGUGGAUUUUAGGCAGGUGGAGUGACAUAAUUCAGUUUUUAUGCUUCAGAGAUCUCUGGGCUGCUCUAUGGAGAAUGGAUCACAGAAAGGCAAUGACAGAAAAAGCAAGACUGGCUAUUUGGCCCCUGGAGUUGUUGAGAAAGUGAUGAUGGUGAUUUGGGUUAUGGUGCUAGAAACUCAAUUAGAGAAAAAUUAACAUAUGCAUAUUAUAUUUUGAAGACAGAAUGUAUAGGAUUUGCUGUCAGAUUACAUGGUGUAGAAACAAUAUAAAACCAGAGAUAAUUCCUUGUUUGUCUUUAGGAACCUGGAAUAUGGUGGUGUCACAUUCUGGGAGAAAUAGGUGUUGUCAUAGGGGUCAUUUGUUUUAGCUUUGCUGAGCUUCUGUGUGUCUAUUCAGAUACCCAUGUGUAAAUAUCAAUCAAAGUGUAGGUAGUGAUUAUGUGUACCAGGUAUUCUCAAUAAAUAUGAUUGCCGUCAAAAAGUUUCUUAGGUAAAAGUGGUGCCCCUAUCUGUACUCUCUGCUUGGACUCUUCAGAUUAUUUUCGUGAAAACCAGGAUGUGAAAAGUGGUAGACAUGUAUAAUCCUAUUUGAGUUUUUUAGCAAGGAUUUUCCUAAAACUGAGAGAGGAAUCUACCUAUUAUUUAUUAUUUGUGGAGUUCUGUUAAUUAUUUUAUGGUUAAAUUAACUAUUUAUUAUUUGCGUAAAAUUCAUGCCAAAAUCCCAUAUUCAAUUAAUCCUAUCAUUACAGUUAUAGAGUUCUUUUGGGUGUUCUUGUAUCUAACACUUUCAUGCAUAAGAUGGAUUCAUUAAAAUGGUGUUUGCUUCUUAAAAAGAAUAGAUAUAUGUAAAAAUAUAAAUUUUAUAUAUAGCACAUACAUACAUGUAUAAAUAUCUAUAUUUAUAUAGAGAUGCGUAUCUAUUAUAUUAUAGCUAUUUCUGACACCCCCCCAAAUCCCUAAGUUUUGUUUGUAUAUUCUUGGCCAAUCACUACUUUAUAGGAUUUUCUUAACUUAGUAUAUUUUGCAUAAGUUUUGUUUAUCCUGCUGUGGCCUCUCCUUCUGCCAGUGAUUUGUGUCUUGGCAGUUUUGAUCCAUUAACUGGAUAAAAGUAAGAGUCCUGGACCUAAAACAAAGAAAUUAUCAUUAUAACAUUUCAAUAUGCAAGUCUCUUAGUAACUUGAAUUACCUUCAAGAAAUUCCCCUUUAUGCAGAGGGAACAAUCAGACAGCAAUAUAGGGAGCUCCCAUCAUGGCUCAGCGGUUAACAAACCUGACUAGUAUUCACAAGGACAGGGGUUUGAUCCAGGCCUCGCUCAGUGGGUUAAGGAUCUGUUGUUGCUCUGAGCUCUGGUGUAGGUCGCAGACUUGGCGAGUCUCCCUUGUUGCUGUGGCUCUGGGAUUGGCCAGCAGCUACAGCUCAGAUUGGACCCCUAGCCUGGAAACCUCUGUAUGCUGUGGGUAUGGCCC